rnacentral:rRNA from 1 species
GUCUAUGGCCAUACCACCCUGAACAUGCCCAGUCUCAUCUGAUCUCGGAAGCUAAGCAGGGUCGGCCUGGUUAGUACUUGGAUGGGAGAAACAGCAUGAUUAUGGCCA